rnacentral:miRNA from 1 species
UCACGGAUGACGUGGCGGACC